UGCCAACUAAAAGAAAACGGAUGUAAGUAAAAUUUUAGACCGACUAUCUUUAAAAUCUUUUCCAUAACGAAUAACAUCACCAUAGCUUAAACAAGGUUACAAAUCAUACAUCAACAUUGCUAAACGACAGUUACUAGUAGGUUACUGGUCUCACACACAUCCAAACCGAACAAAACUCCAGCUUAAUUACUCCUAACAACAAGCAAGCACAUCAGCACUCCAAUUUAUUCCGAGUUCUGACAGGUUGAAGAGCAAGCAAGCUGACACCACAUAUAAGAAUUCACAGUGAUCGGUUUCACUGCCAGUGAUUACCAGGUACUAGUGCUUAAUCAACCAGACACUAAUUAACAUAAUUUACAGGCAUAUGGGUUUGCCUCUAUCUCCUCCAUCACUGCAUCCCUGAGAACCCAGCACUAGAGAGGUUUCAGGGACAGCCAUGGAUUCGCCAUGGAUGGUAGCUAGGUAGGGUUUCCGGGCCCAGCCAUGGAUUCGCCAUGGAUGGUAGCUAGGUAGGUGAUGAGGAGGUGCAAGAACCCAAUGCAAGUAAGAGCCAAGAAUGAUUUGCCUACAGGCAGCCAAGCUGAGAGCUUGGGCACGCCUGGAGAUCC
rnacentral:lncRNA from 1 species